rnacentral:misc_RNA from 1 species
AAGUCGUAACAAGGUUUCCGUAGGUGAACCUGCGGAAGGAUCAUUACCAAAUCCAAAUACCCAAACCCCAUGUGAACUAUUGUUUAGUCUGUCUUUGGGAGAAAGACGAAAACUAGGAUAUGAUAGGAGUUUUACUCUUUUUUAUAUUCUUUUUUAGUGUUUCUCCCAAUAGAGUCCGGCGCAACCUUUUGGUUGUGUCCAGAUUCGAAACCCCCUUUUUAAACCACUUGAUUUUUCUGUUGGAAUUUACUUUUAUUAAUUUUAAAUAAAAGACAACUUUUAACGGCGGAUCUCUUGGCUCGUG